rnacentral:rRNA from 1 species
GACAGAGGGUGCAAACGUUGUUCGGAAUUACUGGGCGUAAAGCGUGUGUAGGCGGUUUGGUAAGUCGGAUGUGAAAGCCCCGGGCUCAACCCGGGAAGUGCACUCGAUACUGCCAAGCUAGAGUAUCGGAGAGGUUGGUGGAAUUCUCGGUGUAGAGGUGAAAUUCGUAGAUAUCGAGAGGAACACCGGUGGCGAAGGCGGCCAACUGGACGAAUACUGACGCUGAGACUCGAAAGCGUGGGGAGCAAACAGG